rfam:Ictidomys tridecemlineatus contig118446, whole genome shotgun sequence.
GGGGUUAUGGCUCAGCGGUAGAGCACUCACCUCGCACAUGAAAGGCCCUGGGUUCGAUCCUCAGCCCCA